AGGCCGACGGUAGUUCCGAUUGUGGUAAAGUGAUAAUUUUUCAUUCCUGCUUUUGGUAAAAUUGGUCCAAAAUAUAGUCUUUCGAAAAAUGUUUGAGAUGUUCCCUUCAAUGAAUGUAGUAAACUGUAGUCAUGAAUCGACACGGCUAACAAUAUUGGUGAUUUAAACUUAUUGACUGAGUAGACCGUAUCACGUGAAACUCAGGUGUUUGUUUCUAUUGUCAUCUGCAGACCCUGAAGAAUACACACGCAUAAUAAGAACUUGGAUGAUUAUGAGGAAGAUGGAAAGCUUAGUUCAAUGUGAAGAUUUUUGUAUAGCUAUAUAAAACUAAGCUUUGUAUUUGGCUGAUUUAGUCAAAGCUGGUAUAUCUUCACCACAAAAACUUCCACCAGAACUUUACCCAGCCCAAGUCCGAGCAGAAAGUAUGUUUGGUACUGUACCAGGAACAGGAAGCUUUACUGGUACCGACCAUCCCACCAACUAGCUGCUUCAAAAAAGUCUGAUGCUUUUGGUGAUUUGUGAAGAGGAGUAGGAAUACCCUCAUCUGUAGUACCACAACCCAAUGAUCCAGCAGAUAAUGUGGUGGAGGACCUACUUCAACCAGAAAAGCUGAAUUCCCUUUGCAAACAAAACUGCUACUAAAGAUAGUGCUACCGGAUUGCUGAUGGAGAAGGAAUCAGAAGAUUAUGUCAAUCAUUGCAUUGAUGAUAGUGUGCUACCUCUAGAAACACUCAAUGCUCUGAAACGACUGAAAACUUGGAAAAGUUCAUGCAUGAUUGAGUGGGGAGAGAUUGUGCGGUCUUGCCAUGCUCCAUGUUCAUCGCGAUAAGGAUAUCAGCAGACCAAAUAUUCUGAAACCACAAUAGAAAACAUUGGCAAAGUCUACUGAAUCUAUGUUUGUUCUAUGUUCUUGCGACAGACUCAAAUCGAGAUUUGGAUGAUUAUCUUACAUAUAAAUUUAGAUAAAGUAUGAAAAAUUGAUAUAAAAAGUGUCCAAAUUUAAAAACAUUAUCAAACUCUCUGGAACUGCCUAGAAUGCAGGAUUUUGUACCAUUCAUUUCAUACCCUCAAAAAAACUAAUUUCGCCUUGCCUAGCUCGGCUCAAUUAUUUUGCCUCACUAAAUUAUGCCUAUUUACAGCCUUGUAUUUUGGAUAGUUUAAUUUAAUUUAAUUUAAGUCGAUGUUUUUUUAAUAGCAACCUUUGAAGAUAAAAGGAAAUUAAAUUUAACUAGGGCCAG